rnacentral:lncRNA from 1 species
GCACCUGCCUCUCCCUGCACCCCAGCUGUCCACGCUGCCUGUUCCCUCACUUUCUCCAUCCUGUCCAGCAGGAUAGGAUGGGCAGGAGGACAGCCUGUGUGCACAUUUCAUGGCAAGUAGGAGUGACACACCAUCCCUGGGAGGCGCCUUGGUUCCUCCCAAACCCGGCCCCAGAACUCUGUCCCUGGGGUGGUUUUACCAAACCCCAAACCCAGAACUGUGGUUGUGGCUCAGGGGUCAGUGCCGGGACACUACUGGGAGGCUGGGACCUGACCAAAGCCCAUGGUGUCUGUGGCCUGAGGACAGGGUGUCUUGGGGCCAUAAGGACGGCCACAAGUUGCCAUUGGGUCACAGGGGCUCAGCCCCAGUGUUUGUCCUUCCCCGGCUCCUUCCCAUCAGUGCCCUGGAGCCCAAGACCAAGCAUCCAAGGUUCCCUCCAGGAAUCCUGGUGGCUCAGCUUACUUUGUCAUGUUUCAUCUGGGAGCAAAAAUGUCAGAUCGGAUGCACAGAAAAAUGGCUCAACAUGCUUAAUGACUAGAAGAAAUCUAGGAGCAGCAAGAAGGUAAUGUGGAGAGGGGAGGACCUCCAUGGCACCUCCAUGACCGGUGUCUGCAGAGCCAGGGGUACAGGCACCCAGUGCUGUGGCCUGGCACCACCUCUCAGAGGGUGGGUAGCACACUCUCCUUACCUGGGGGACAGCAGGCCUGGUCACCAGCUUUUGUACCUGUCUCUGCAAGCAUUGCAUUACUGGAAGAGAAUGUCAUGCCAGAGCUUGGACCAUGCCUUGCUCAGGGGUUAGGGGUUGUCUCUUGGUGACCUAAAUGAAAAAAUAGCUCCAGAUCAUAGUUCCACAGAGCCCAAGGCCGGAAACCUCCAGAAUCCUCUGGCCCCAGAUCCUCCGGCCCCAGAUCCUCCCCAGGGACCCCUGUGGCCUAUCUCACCAGAGCAUUCUUCCAUCUGUAGAUUUCUUGGCUGCUCCACAAGGGAGUCCCACUUCAGAUGUGGUGCUGGGCAUGGUCACUCCUGCUGGAUGUUUAGAAGGUGGAAAGCAAGGACCUAGGGAAAUACCAGGUACACCCUUUCCACCCUCAUCCAGAGCAGGACAAAGAGGCCAGGCGUUGUCAGGAGCCCAGGUCUCCAGCUGGAGGGAACGUCAACCCUGCAGUGGGAGCAGGGGCCCAUUGCACAUCCUAGGCAGAGAUGGUAACGUAGGCACCACAGGUAUGCAGGGAUUGGUACCCCUCCCUGGCAUCAGAAAGAAGCCAAACAAGGAGCUUUCUGCAGAAUGAAACCUUCUUUCCUUUCAGAAGCACUGCUGACUGUUUGGUGGUUGCCACUGGGGCAGUGAGCCUUUGGUCCAUUCUGAGGUUGGGCUGGUUUCUCCUCUUGGCCCUCCCCUACAGACCAUAAAGGAAAUCAGCAAGAAGUCCCCAGCAAACAUCCACAGAUGGCCCUGGACAUCAGCCACAUUCUGAGAAACAUGUCAUGUUCUGGGAGGGCUAAGGCAUCAAGUAAGGCCUAUGGGGCUGGAGGAUCCCAGGCAGGUGGGGCAAUCCAGAGCCAUGGGGGCUUCCCAUGGGAAUUGGGAGGUCCCAAGGCAGAUGCAGGGGUUCCACAGGAGGAGUCCCAGAGCCACCAAGCUCUAUCCUUUCCCAGGGAGCAGUCAACACCAUGGACUGAACUCUUAAUGGGCUUCAAGCUCUGGGCCAGGCUGGGGCAUGUGGGGCCAUGAGGGAGCUCAGAGUGGGAGACAGAGAGACAAGUGUGCUCAGAGGGCACCCAUUUCUGGGUGUAAUGUGGUCUUGAGAUUUUGGCUAAAAAGUGUUUCCAGGGUUUCAUAUGUGUUAUGGAGCUGCUUCCUCUCCCCAGCCUCACCUUGCAGGAAUCCCAGUGAAUAUAUUGCCACCCUAUUUGAGCUCAGUGCCCUCAUAGUGUAAUGGCACCAGCAGAUCUGCCUGUGCAUGGACUUCCUGUACUACCCAUUCCUGACGGUGAUGCUUCUGCAGGGCCUGUGACCUGGUGCACAACUUUAGACACCAUCAUCCUGGAGCAGCACUGCACCCUCACUAGCCAGGGUGUUCAUGACUUCCUCAAGGCCAAGGCCACGUUCAAGACUUAAGACUUCAGUGAUGCACUUAUGCUGGGCAAGGUGGCUUCUCGGGUAUCUUAAUUUGGGAGGUAGAAUGCAGCUUGAGAUCAAAUGUCUGAUCAAAGAACUUGAACUUGAUCUGGAGGGCUCUGGGGAGCCAUGGAAGGUGCUGGAUAAAGGAGGGACAGUCAGAUAUGUUUUAGAGAUGACUGUAGAAGGCUGCCUGGAAGGAGUGAACAAGAGCCAGGAGACCCGGGAGGGAGCUUGUGGGGCAGGUCUGGAGAUGGCAAGGGAGGGAUUCUGCUUGGAUGAAAAGUCUUCAGGGACUGUCUCAGGUUACACUCAGGUGCCCUCAGAGCUAAUGUGUUCAGAGGUCUUGUCUCCAGGAUGAAAAUGGGAAGGAGUUGUCAGAUGAGGACAUAUAAAUGGAGGCUGACAUCUUCAUGAGUACCAGUGGUGGUCCCGGUGUGGGUCUCUCCAUCCAGGGACAUGGUGGAUGGACACUACAUCACUCCAUUCUGCCCUUCCUUUCCCUCCUCCCAUUCUCCUGAGGGCCUCAGUGCAUGGGCGCUGUCCAACCUCUGGUGCUGAAGCAGCCAAGAGACCCAAGACUGCGUGGCUGCCUCUUAGGAUAUGACAGCACAGCCACUGGCCUCUACUGAAUCCUAUGCAACCUCAGAAGACACCCAGGAGUGAUGCCAUCAUGUGGUGCAAGAGUUCUGAGGGACCGCAAUCCUGAAGACAUUGAAUGGCUGUGUUCCUGCUUAUUGCUGGAGGCACUGUCAGGGGCCCUGUCCUCAACCCUGGGUCUGACCCUUGCAGCUCAGGCAGGACAUUCUGGAGGAAUCAUGCCCUUGGAAGGAUCCCUGAGGAGUGACUGUUGUUAGAUUAAAAAACUGUGGCAAAGAGCAAUACAGAGAGUUGCCAAAAUUCACACCGCUGGUCCAGGUUUGAAGCAAGCAGUCUGUACCUGCAGUCCUUGUCUGUAACCAUGGCACCCUGGCUUCUCACACCUCUCAUCGUGGAGUUCCACCAUGUGUCAGGCAUGGCACUGAGCACCUUCUUUUAAGAAUAUAAUUUGUAAUUAUGUAGAUUAUUAAUUCUACUUCAAAAUGCCACACAGCCUUCAUGUGAUAAAAUGAAACAAUUGCUCAACUGAUCUGGGAUCUCUACUAAGAUGUUGGCAGCCCAGCCAGCUGGUCUGGCCCUGGACGUGCCUUCAUGGUCUGGUUAUGCUUCAUGACCUGCACUGUGGUCAGUGGUAAGCAGCACCUGCUUCUAGCUUUACUGUUGGGUCAGAUUUUAUCUGCACUCCAGCUCUGCAGUGCGGCUGCUUCUUGAUUCAUCCAUGGACCCUUCACGAAAUUGCCCCAUGUUUCUGUUUGUGCAUCACUGAAGAAGGAAGCACGAAGGACGCACAGGUCAGGCCAUUCCAUUGCCCUCCUGGUGCUGGGUUUGCCCUCCCAAUCCUGGGGUUGCUUCAGGGGCUGGUCGUUCUCCAUAGCCCCCUCCACAUUUCUCAGGUUUCUGCUCAAAAGUCACCUUUCGGAGGGGUCUCCACCUGUCACUGUGUUUGUAAGAGCUCCUUCGGUUUCUUUCUAGCUCAUCUCACUCUGGUAAUGUCUUUGAUUAUCACCACCAUCUGACCUGGUCUUAUGACCUGUUAGCUUCCUUCGUCAGACGUGAGCACCAGGAUGGCAGGGGCCUCAUCUGUCCUGUUCCUCCUGUGGCCUGGGUCGUAGCACCAUGUCUGCCAUUUUGCAGACUCUGAUCACAGUGAAACGUUCCAUGGGAACUUGGGCCAUGAGAAACAUCCUUCCUAACCACGUGACUGCAGAAACAUCCUUAUCGCAUCUUCCUGGGCAAAGGCCCAACAGCCUGACUGCAGGGACAUCCUUGCCAUAUCCUGCUGGGCAGCAAGCUCUACCACCCAGAUCCCUCCCUCCCAGUCCCAUGAUUACCCCAGCCUGUGAGCGGCAAUUGGUGCUGGCACUAAGCUGGUUUCCUCCUCCCCAGGGUUUUGCUGGCAAUAAAGAUGUUGCUGUUGAAGCCAC